rnacentral:rRNA from 1 species
ACCUACGGGGGGCAGCAGUGGGGGAUAUUGCCCAAUGGGGGGAACCCUGAUGCAGCGACGCCGCGUGGGUGAAGAAGCGCCUCGGCGCGUAAAGCCCUGUCAGCAGGGAAGAAAAUGACGGUACCUGAAGAAGAAGCCCCGGCUAACUACGUGCCAGCAACCGCGGUAAUACGUAGGGGGCAAGCGUUAUCCGGAUUUACUGGGUGUAAAGGGGGCGCAGACGGCGAUGCAAGCCAGGAGUGAAAGCCCGGGGCCCAACCCCGGGACUGCUCUUGGAACUGCGUGGCUGGAGUGCAGGAGGGGCG